rnacentral:rRNA from 1 species
AAGGUUAAGCCUCACGGUUCAUUAGUACCGGUUAGCUCAACGCAUCGCUGCGCUUACACACCCGGCCUAUCAACGUCGUCGUCUUCAACGUUCCUUCAGGACUCUCAAGGAGUCAGGGAGAACUCAUCUCGGGGCAAGUUUCGUGCUUAGAUGCUUUCAGCACUUAUCUCUUCCGCAUUUAGCUACCGGGCAGUGCCAUUGGCAUGACAACCCGAACACCAGUGAUGCGUCCACUCCGGUCCUCUCGUACUAGGAGCAGCCCCCCUCAGUUCUCCAGCGCCCACGGCAGAUAGGGACCGAACUGUCUCACGACGUUCUAAACCCAGCUCGCGUACCACUUUAAAUGGCGAACAGCCAUACCCUUGGGACCUACUUCAGCCCCAGGAUGUGAUGAGCCGACAUCGAGGUGCCAAACACCGCCGUCGAUAUGAACUCUUGGGCGGUAUCAGCCUGUUAUCCCCGGAGUACCUUUUAUCCGUUGAGCGAUGGCCCUUCCAUUCAGAACCACCGGAUCACUAUGACCUGCUUUCGCACCUGCUCGCGCCGUCACGCUCGCAGUCAAGCUGGCUUAUGCCAUUGCACUAACCUCCUGAUGUCCGACCAGGAUUAGCCAACCUUCGUGCUCCUCCGUUACUCUUUAGGAGGAGACCGCCCCAGUCAAACUACCCACCAGACACUGUCCGCAACCCGGAUUACGGGUCAACGUUAGAACAUCAAACAUUAAAGGGUGGUAUUUCAAGGUCGGCUCCAUGCAGACUGGCGUCCACACUUCAAAGCCUCCCACCUAUCCUACACAUCAAGGCUCAAUGUUCAGUGUCAAGCUAUAGUAAAGGUUCACGGGGUCUUUCCGUCUUGCCGCGGGUACACUGCAUCUUCACAGCGAGUUCAAUUUCACUGAGUCUCGGGUGGAGACAGCCUGGCCAUCAUUACGCCAUUCGUGCAGGUCGGAACUUACCCGACAAGGAAUUUCGCUACCUUAGGACCGUUAUAGUUACGGCCGCCGUUUACCGGGGCUUCGAUCAAGAGCUUCGCCUUGCGGCUAACCCCAUCAAUUAACCUUCCGGCACCGGGCAGGCGUCACACCGUAUACGUCCACUUUCGUGUUUGCACAGUGCUGUGUUUUUAAUAAACAGUUGCAGCCAGCUGGUAUCUUCGACUGAUUUCAGCUCCAUCCGCGAGGGACUUCACCUACAUAUCAGCGUGCCUUCUCCCGAAGUUACGGCACCAUUUUGCCUAGUUCCUUCACCCGAGUUCUCUCAAGCGCCUUGGUAUUCUCUACCUGACCACCUGUGUCGGUUUGGGGUACGAUUUGAUGUUACCUGAUGCUUAGAGGCUUUUCCUGGAAGCAGGGCAUUUGUUGCUUCAGCACCGUAGUGCCUCGUCAUCACGCCUCAGCCUUGAUUUUCCGGAUUUGCCUGGAAAACCAGCCUACACGCUUAAACCGGGACAACCGUCGCCCGGCCAACAUAGCCUUCUCCGUCCCCCCUUCGCAGUAACACCAAGUACAGGAAUAUUAACCUGUUUCCCAUCGACUACGCCUUUCGGCCUCGCCUUAGGGGUCGACUCACCCUGCCCCGAUUAACGUUGGACAGGAACCCUUGGUCUUCCGGCGAGCGGGCUUUUCACCCGCUUUAUCGUUACUUAUGUCAGCAUUCGCACUUCUGAUACCUCCAGCAUGCCUCACAGCACACCUUCGCAGGCUUACAGAACGCUCCCCUACCCAACAACGCAUCAGCGUCGCUGCCGCAGCUUCGGUGCAUGGUUUAGCCCCGUUACAUCUUCCGCGCAGGCCGACUCGACCAGUGAGCUAUUACGCUUUCUUUAAAUGAUGGCUGCUUCUAAGCCAACAUCCUGGCUGUCUGGGCCUUCCCACAUCGUUUCCCACUUAACCAUGACUUUGGGACCUUAGCUGGCGGUCUGGGUUGUUUCCCUCUUCACGACGGACGUUAGCACCCGCCGUGUGUCUCCCGUGAUAACAUUCUCCGGUAUUCGCAGUUUGCAUCGGGUUGGUAAGUCGGGAUGACCCCCUUGCCGAAACAGUGCUCUACCCCCGGAGAUGAAUUCACGAGGCGCUACCUAAAUAGCUUUCGGGGAGAACCAGCUAUCUCCCGGUUUGAUUGGCCUUUCACCCCCAGCCACAAGUCAUCCGCUAAUUUUUCAACAUUAGUCGGUUCGGUCCUCCAGUUAGUGUUACCCAACCUUCAACCUGCCCAUGGCUAGAUCACCGGGUUUCGGGUCUAUACCCUGCAACUUAACGCCCAGUUAAGACUCGGUUUCCCUUCGGCUCCCCUAUUCGGUUAACCUUGCUACAGAAUAUAAGUCGCUGACCCAUUAUACAAAAGGUACGCAGUCACACGCCUAAGCGUGCUCCCACUGCUUGUACGUACACGGUUUCAGGUUCUUUUUCACUCCCCUCGCCGGGGUUCUUUUCGCCUUUCCCUCACGGUACUGGUUCACUAUCGGUCAGUCAGGAGUAUUUAGCCUUGGAGGAUGGUCCCCCCAUAUUCAGACAGGAUACCACGUGUCCCGCCCUACUCAUCGAGCUCACAGCAUGUGCAUUUUUGUGUACGGGGCUGUCACCCUGUAUCGCGCGCCUUUCCAGACGCUUCCACUAACACACACACUGAUUCAGGCUCUGGGCUGCUCCCCGUUCGCUCGCCGCUACUGGGGGAAUCUCGGUUGAUUUCUUUUCCUCGGGGUACUUAGAUGUUUCAGUUCCCCCGGUUCGCCUCAUUAACCUAUGGAUUCAGUUAAUGAUAGUGUGUCGAAACACACUGGGUUUCCCCAUUCGGAAAUCGCCGGUUAUAACGGUUCAUAUCACCUUACCGACGCUUAUCGCAGAUUAGCACGUCCUUCAUCGCCUCUGACUGCCAGGGCAUCCACCGUGUACGCUUAGUCGCUUAA